rnacentral:lncRNA from 1 species
UUACAAGUUCAGUUAUUAAAGAAGGAUAGAUGUCAGCCUUCUCUAAAUUUUUAACUUGUUUUUGAAGAGACCUUCUAUCACUCUCAAAAGAAAAAUCAUUGGGAACAAUUUCUUCAACUAAAGGUUCUUGGGUAGAACCAGAAAUUUCUUUACCUUUAGAAGAAGGAGUCUUUGGGAUAGAACUUCUAAUGCCAGAACUGGAAGAAGGAGAAGCAGAACCAGAUAAACUACCACUCGUGGAUCCUAAGCUUAAACUCUGAAGACUACCACCUCUGCCUCUC